AGUAAGCCACAUCCCUUAGCCAGGAGCGCUAACAGGCGGACACUUCUCCAGUGGCUCCCUCUACAGGUCCUAGCCUCUUCUACCCAAGGCUUGAACUUCCUACCAAAGGAGUUCCUCCUGCCACUCAAUUUUGUAGCAUUCAGAAGUCAGUCUCCAGGAAAAGGCCUGGGUAGAUUUGCAUCCAAGUGUUCGUAGACAGAGAUCUUGGCAUUAGCCAACAGGAGAGGGAAGAGCAAAGCUAGGUUACACAAAGAGCAAAGACGUCGUGCAGUCUCCCAAAGGCCUCGGCCUACUCCGAAGAGAGCCAGGGAGCUGCAGGAACUCUCAGAGCUGAAGCUGAGGAAAAGGUCACCUUGCCACCUGCAUGUUACCAACUACUGAGUGUGGGCCGCCCCUCUGAGACUUGGGCAAAGCAGCUUUCUUCAAGACCCAGGAAAGGCCCUUACAUGGCCUGCAGCUAACAGCCACCCUCAUAACAGCUAGACAAGGAUUGCUAGGAAGCUUUUCACUACCGAAGGGAUCUGGCUUCCGGGGAAUGAGUAGUUUUACUCCUUUUGUAUUGACUUAUGGGAGCACCUUAAUAUCUAUAAUAAAAAUUCUUUGCUGUGUCGCAAGUUUCCCUCACCACC